GUCCUGAAGGCUCAAUAGUAGAGUAUACAAUUCAGUUGUAAGGUGCAGAUUUGACUCCUGCUUAGGAC
rnacentral:tRNA from 1 species